UCCAAGACUUGAGGAUAUUUAAAC
rnacentral:sRNA from 1 species